rnacentral:lncRNA from 1 species
AGCAUGACAUUAUAACACAUGAACAAUAUAAUUCGUACACUGUCUUGUCCUCGGUAACAUUCCACAGAGAUACGCGAAUGGAGGAUUAUUCUAUUAUUACUAGUAAAUUUGUUAUUCCGUAUGAUUGGAGACACGUCCUCGGCGAACACUCCACAGAGAUACGCGAGUGGAGGACUACACCCGUAACCAGAAUCUCUGGAAUUUAGAGAGCGUGACUUAAGUGUAUAGAUCUAUACGGGGUUGACUACCCCACACCUGGCUGCUAGCUACAGCCGAACUGAAAUGGUUCAAGGGUGACGAAAGUCAUGAGAAUUGUGGACUACUUAUUGCCACAGGUUCAGUCUUUAGUAUGGUUAUGGAACUCGCAAUUAGGAUAACAGAGGUUUACUUACAGUAAUAAUGAACUAUAUACGACAUUUUUGCAGAUAAUCAGGAUUCAGUUUACAUCUUUAACAUCUUUUACAACUUUUACAAACAAUAACCAACAUUCAGGAAGGUAUGGGACCUUCCUGGGGAAAACUUUGUACAUAACCANUACUUAUUGCCACAGGUUCAGUCUUUAGUAUGGUUAUGGAACUCGCAAUUAGGAUAACAGAGAUUUACUUACAGUAAUAAUGAACCAUAUACUACAUUUUGCAGACAAUCAGGAUUCAGUUUACAUCUUUUACAUCUUUUACA